rnacentral:rRNA from 1 species
UGGGGAAUUUUGGACAAUGGGCGAAAGCCUGAUCCAGCCAUGCCGCGUGAGUGAAGAAGGCCUUCGGGUUGUAAAGCUCUUUUAGUCGGAAAGAAAGAGUUGCAAUGAAUAAUUGUGAUUUAUGACGGUACCGACAGAAAAAGCACCGGCUAACUACGUGCCAGCAGCCGCGGUAAUACGUAGGGUGCGAGCGUUAAUCGGAAUUACUGGGCGUAAAGGGUGCGCAGGCGGUCUUGCAAGUCAGAUGUGAAAGCCCCGGGCUUAACCUGGGAAUUGCGUUUGAAACUACAAGACUAGAGUGCAGCAGAGGGGAGUGGAAUUCCAUGUGUAGCAGUGAAAUGCUUAGAGAUGUGGAAGAACACCGAUGGCGAAGGCAGCUCCCUGGGUUGACACUGACGCUCAUGCACGAAAGCGUGGGGAGCAAACA